rnacentral:rRNA from 1 species
CGCGCAGGUGGUUGAUUAAGUCUGAUGUGAAAGCCCACGGCUUAACCGUGGAGGGUCAUUGGAAACUGGUCGACUUGAGUGCAGAAGAGGGAAGUGGAAUUCCAUGUGUAGCGGUGAAAUGCGUAGAUAUUGGGAAGAACACCGGUGGCGAAGGCGGCAACCUGGCUCAUUACUGACGCUGAGGCGCGAAAGCGUGGGGAGCAAACAGGAUUAGAUACCCCUGUA